ACGCACGGCAACGAGUGGCACGCAGGAAUUCUCUCCUCCCGCGGCCUGAGACACAUCGUCCGAACUUGACCGAGGUAAUUCUCGCGCAAGGAUCGCCGUGCGCUUCGACG
rnacentral:ncRNA from 1 species